rnacentral:rRNA from 1 species
UGACGAUGAUGACGGUACGNUGAGAAGAAGCACCGGCUAACUUCGUGCCAGCAGCCGCGGUAAUACGAAGGGUGCNAGCGUGUUUCGGAUUUACUGGGCGUAAAGCGCAUGUAGGCGGUAUAUCAAGUCAGAGGUGAAAGCCCAAGGCUCAACCUUGGAACUGCCUUUGAUACCGAUAAACUAGAGUACGAUAGAGGAUAGCGGAAUUUCCAGUGUAGAGGUGAAAUUCGUAGAUAUUGGAAGGAACACCAGUGGCGAAAGCGGCUAUCUGGAUCGUAACUGACGCUAAGAUGCGAAAGCGUGGGUAGCAAACAGGAUUAGAUACCCUGGUAGUCCACGCCGUAAACGAUGAGUGCUAGAUGUUGGGAACAUUUGUUUUCAGUGUCACAGUUAACGCGUUAAGCACUCCGCCUGGGGAGUACGGCCGCAAGGUUAAAACUUAAAGGAAUUGACGGGGACCCGCACAAGCGGUGGAGCAUGUUGUUUAAUUCGAAGAUACGCGAACAACCUUACCUACUCUUGACAUCCCGAUCGCGAAUUUCAGAGAUGAUUUUCUUCAGUUUGGCUGGAUCGGUGACAGAUGCUGCAUGGUUGUCGUCAGCUCGUGUCGUGAGAUGUUGGGUUAAGUCCCGCAACGAGCGCAACCCUUACUGUUAGUUGCCAUCAGGUUAUGCUGGGAACUCUGGCAGAACUGCCGGUGAUAAGCCGGAGGAAGGUGGGGAUGACGUCAAAUCAGCAUGGUUCUUACGAGUAGGGCCACAAACGUGCUACAAUGGUAACUACAAAAAGCGGCAAACUUGCAAGAGUGAGCUAAUCUUUUAAAAGUUAUCUCAGUUCGAAUUGUCCUCUGCAACUCGAGGGCAUGAAGUGGAAUCGCUAGU